rnacentral:rRNA from 1 species
UACGUAGGGGGCAAGCGUUGUCCGGAUUUAUUGGGCGUAAAGAGCGUGUAGGCGGCCAUACAGGUCAGCUGUGAAAACUCGAGGCUCAACCUCGAGACGUCGGUUGAAACCGUAUGGCUAGAGUCCGGAAGAGGAGAGUGGAAUUCCCGGUGUAGCGGUGAAAUGCGCAGAUAUCGGGAAGAACACCCGUGGCGAAGGCGGCUCUCUGGGCCGGCCCUGACACUGAGACGCGAAGGCGUGGGGAGCGA